rnacentral:rRNA from 1 species
GACGAACGCUGGCGGCGUGCUUAACACAUGCAAGUCGAACGGAAAGGCCCUGCUUUUGUGGGGUGCUCGAGUGGCGAACGGGUGAGUAACACGUGAGUAACCUGCCCUUGACUUUGGGAUAACUUCAGGAAACUGGGGCUAAUACCGGAUAGGAGCUCCUGCUGCAUGUUGGGGGUUGGAAAGUUUCGGCGGUUGGGGAUGGACUCGCGGCUUAUCAGCUUGUUGGUGGGGUAGUGGCUUACCAAGGCUUUGACGGGUAGCCGGCCUGGGAGGGUGACCGGCCACAUUGGGACUGAGAUACGGCCCAGACUCCUACGGGAGGCAGCAGUGGGGAAUAUUGCACAAUGGGCGGAAGCCUGAUGCAGCAACGCCGCGUGCGGGAUGACGGCCUUCGGGUUGUAAACCGCUUUCGCCUGUGACGAAGCGUGAGUGACGGUAAUGGGUAAAGAAGCACCGGCUAACUACGUG